rnacentral:rRNA from 1 species
CACUCCUGCGGGAGGCAGCAGUGGGGAAUAUUGCACAAUGGGCGCAAGCCUGAUGCAGCCAUGCCGCGUGUAUGAAGAAGGCCUUCGGGUUGUAAAGUACUUUCAGCGGGGAGGAAGGUGUUGAGGUUAAUAACCUCAGCAAUUGACGUUACCCGCAGAAGAAGCACCGGCUAACUCCGUGCCAGCAGCCGCGGUAAUACGGAGGGUGCAAGCGUUAAUCGGAAUUACUGGGCGUAAAGCGCACGCAGGCGGUCUGUCAAGUCGGAUGUGAAAUCCCCGGGCUCAACCGGGGAACUGCAUUCGAAACUGGCAGGCUAGAGUCUUGUAGAGGGGGGUAGAAUUCCAGGUGUAGCGGUGAAAUGCGUAGAGAUCUGGAGGAAUACCGGUUGCGAAGGCGGCCCCCUGGACAAAGACUGACGCUCAGGUGCGAAAGCGUGGGGAGCAAACAGGAUUAGAAACCCGGGUAGUCCC